rnacentral:rRNA from 1 species
AUUGAACGCUGGCGGAAUGCUUUACACAUGCAAGUCGAACGGCAGCACGGGGGCAACCCUGGUGGCGAGUGGCGAACGGGUGAGUAAUACAUCGGAACGUGCCCAGUCGUGGGGGAUAACGUAGCGAAAGUUACGCUAAUACCGCAUACGAUCUACGGAUGAAAGCGGGGGACCGUAAGGCCUGGCGCGAUUGGAGCGGCCGAUGUCAGAUUAGGUAGUUGGUGAGGUAAAGGCUCACCAAGCCGACGAACUGUAGCUGGUCUGAGAGGACGACCAGCCACACUGGGACUGAGACACGGCCCAGACUCCUACGGGAGGCAGCAGUGGGGAAUUUUGGACAAUGGGCGCAAGCCUGAUCCAGCCAUUCCGCGUGCAGGACGAAGGCCUUCGGGUUGUAAACUGCUUUUGUACGGAACGAAAAGGCUCUGGUUAAUACCUGGGGCUCAUGACGGUACCGUAAGAAUAAGCACCGGCUAACUACGUGCCAGCAGCCGCAGUAA